UGGUAUUCUACUAUUGUUUAACAGCAAGAUUAAAACUGCAGUUAAUUGCAACUAUUUUUUAAAAUCUCACAAUUGUGGUGCCCUCAAUGGUUGAAUCUUUUUCAUUUCUAUAGGUAGGUAAUUUGAAUUGAUUCCCUUCUACUGGUUUAAUAAUACUUGUAUUUCUGUGAAGCAGGUGGAUUCUAAUCCCAUGAACCAGGAGCUAUGCUCCAAGGUGGAGGACCCUAGGUUGGGGUGGUGCAUAUCCCCUGCAUCCUGGGAGAGGAGAUGCAGGGAUGAUCCGAAGCUUCAACACUUGUUGGACACACAGGUGAAACAGAAUAAGGGAUACUUUUUGUUGCUGAAUGUGGCAAGUGGGUCUACCUCUGGAAGUCCCCAUCUUUGGAAUAUCCUGUAAAGAAUUUGAGAGUCAAACUCCCAUUUGGAGUCCUGGAAGAAGCGCCUGCUGAGCAUGUUGGCUGUGACAUUCUGGACUCCAGGAAGCUGGAGAUUCAAUUCCUGGAAGAGAGAAAGGGCCAUCUGGGUGGAAGUCAGUACUGUUUUGUAAGAUCAGCCCUUGAGUAAUCAGUCGUCAAGAUAUGGGAAGACUAAAAUCGCUUCUAAAUGAAGUAGUCUAUAUAUCCAGAGAUCUUGGCCCUGAACACCAUUAGUGUGUGCAGAGACUUAUCCGUGGUCAUGGACAAGAGCGUUCAACCAUCAAAUGGGAGGUCCUCAACAGUGUUCUGAACCUCUCUCAGGAACCCUGAGAGUUGGAGCCAUGAUGCCCUACACAUAAUAACCGUUGUGGAGAUGGAUCUGGUGGCAGUGUCCAAGACAUCCAAGGAUGCUUGAAGAGAGGUUCUGGCUAAUAACUGACUCUCCGCCAUGAUGGCUUGGAAUUAUUCCCUAUGCUCCUGUGGAAGAUGCUUAAUAAA